rnacentral:misc_RNA from 1 species
AAAGUACAGUCGGUGUAAAGAUCAAGAAGACAUGUACUAGUACUCUAAAUUUCUUCAUCAUAUUCAGAUGAGAGUUUGACUAUGAGAUGAAUAAGUGAAGUAUGGUUAGAAAUGACAUGUACGAUUCAUCAGAAUUAGGCAAUGAGUGAUGACUAUCAUCUGCCCAGCGUUGCUGAGCCUGAGGGACUCCAAUUAAUGAACCUGAGGCAUCUAAGAUCACUAAACGAUUCUAUCACCUGCUUUUACUUCCAUAAAAAUCAGUUCCGUUUGCAGGGCUAGCCUUGGUUGGAAUGGAAGAAUUGUCGUAUUGGACAAGAGUCAAGAGGAAGCAAUAUGGCCCAAAUACAAAAGGUAAUCCCGGCCAAUUACGUGAAGAUGGAGACGCGGAUGUCCUAAUAUUUAAGUCACUGGAUAAAACCACGACGAUUUUGUCCAAUAAUAAGUGCUGUCUGAUGCUGUGGAGUCAGUAGAGAUUGAUACCGAAUGAAGAAAUUUGCCAGGAAGGAAUUCUAGAGAGUGAAGCUCAAAGUCCAAUGAUGGUUUCCGCUUCACUACCACCAUGUAAAUGGUCUUUUAACACACCCAGUUGUACUUUUUCUGUAACUAACAACUCUCCUUCUUCCAAACGACAUCGUCUCACUACUCUUUCUUUGCACGAUUCCUCUUCAUCCUCAUCCUCCGCCUCUUCUGAAUAGAAACAAAAAAUGUGAAACGAAAAGUGUGAGAAUUCAUUUGCAGAAUCCCAACCUAAAAAAUUAGUGUGAGAAUUCUGUUUGAUUCAUAUGGCAACGAGUGUUAA